UGAGGCUUCUGGAAAUUACUUCAUUGCAA
rnacentral:piRNA from 1 species